rnacentral:rRNA from 1 species
GACGAACGCUGGCGGCGUGCUUAACACAUGCAAGUCGAGCGGUAAGGCCCUUCGGGGUACACGAGCGGCGAACGGGUGAGUAACACGUGGGUGACCUGCCUCUAGCUCUGGGAUAAGCCUGGGAAACUGGGUCUAAUACCGGAUAUGACUCCACGGCGCAUGUUGUGGGGUGGAAAGCCUUGUGUGGCUAGAGAUGGGCCCGCGGCCUAUCAGCUUGUUGGUGGGGUGAUGGCCUACCAAGGCGACGACGGGUAGCCGGCCUGAGAGGGCGACCGGCCACACUGGGACUGGGACACGGCCCAGACUCCUACGGGAGGC